rnacentral:rRNA from 1 species
GACGAAGGGGGCUAGCGUUGUUCGGAAUUACUGGGCGUAAAGCGAGUGUAGGCGGUUGUCAUAGUCUGGUGUGAAAGCCUUGAGCUUAACUCAAGAAAUGCACUUGAUACUGGGCGACUAGAGGACCGGAGAGGAUAGUGGAAUUCCCAGUGUAGUGGUGAAAUACGUAGAGAUUGGGAAGAACACCAGUGGCGAAGGCGGCUAUCUGGACGGUUACUGACGCUAAGACUCGAAAGCGUGGGGAGCAAACAGG